UCUUGCUUCAAAUGCCAAGAGGAGGUUCGCAGUGCAAUGGGGCGCCCACAAUCAGUGGAAGUGAACCAGAUAGACAUGUGUAUGAACAGUUACCGAGUUGUGACCAAGGCAAGCAUCCAGUCUCAUCAAUCCCUGAACAUAACACGUUUUCUAUGAUUUAAAUGAACUUAACACAGAAAUGUAUUAACCAUGAUGUGAAAUGAGGCCGAGCACACCACUUCGGUGAAAACGGAGACCAAUCCGCCGAAUCACAACAUAUCUGAUGGUGUAUCAUUACGCCAUGCAUAUGCAACUAGAUAUCAUUCAUAAUGCUUGGUGCAGCAGCAUGAUUCAUCACAACACUCAAGUACGCGUUUUGAAACCAAGAUUGAGGAUAUCGUUUGGGCCUGAGUUUUACGGACAAGACAUAUCUGCUCAUAUUUCUGUAAGCAUGUCAGCUGAGCCAACAGAGCAAUACUGGGCGACUACAACUUUACUCAACUUGAGCAUAAGAGAGCCGCAGGAAAGAGAUCCGGCUGUGGACAGUCUGUAUGACUGCUACUUUGACAUUGGCAAACCAAUUCAGCUGCGUUGUAAAUACGAAGCCGACACAAAGGUUAGCAUUCAGUGGGAUAUGAAUGGUCAUUCUGCAGUAUUGGAUGGUCGCCAGAGGUCUGGGAAAACGGGAAUUAGAAUCGAAAUGGCAGCAGCUAAACACCAUCGAAAAAAAAUUACUGUUACCAUCACAGACACAAACGGCAGGGAAGCCUUCACAUCGGCACGAAUUCACAUCAACGGCUACAAUUAACUCCAAAACAGGAAAGUAUCAAUGGAUAGAGAAAGGCACCACAGAAGUAGCGAACCUACAACUCUACCACCAGUCUACCAGGCAUCGGCAAUUCAAUGUUACAAGAUCUUUAAACCAAACCAUCCUUAAUUCAAGGAACACACACUUUUUAACUGGUCUCCAUCACACUGUUAUCUGUCAAAAGUUUUACCUUAACGACUUCACAGAGCCUCACGAAACUGAUAUCUAAAAGCGAAAGAUAUAGAUGUAGGAACACAAAAAAGUAAUUCUGUACGCACUGGUGGGUCGAACCGUUACUGCUUCUCAUUAGCACAGACAGUUGUCCCACUGGGCACUCUC